UAGGAGGUCAUAACGAGCAAGGUUACCUCCUGUUUCUCAUCUCUGCUCGCCCAGAGAAUUGGGCCCACCCAUGAAAGAGAGAGACAUUAUGGCUUUCAAACGAGCAAAGUGCCAUUUGGUCAAGACCAUGCAGUUCACCAGUGUUCAGUGCACCCAUACCUUG